AUUGAACGCUGGCGGCAUGCCUUACACAUGCAAGUCGAACGGCAGCAUGGAGAGCUUGCUCUCUGAUGGCGAGUGGCGAACGGGUGAGUGAUGCAUCGGAACGUACCGUGUAAUGGGGGAUAACGUAGCGAAAGUUACGCUAAUACCGCAUACGACCUGAGGGUGAAAGCAGGGGAUCGCAAGACCUUGCGUUAUACAACCGGCCGAUGUGAGAUUAGCUAGUUGGUGAGGUAAAGGCUCACCAAGGCGACGAUCUGUAGCGGGUCUGAGAGGAUGAUCCGCCACACUGGGACUGAGACACGGCCCAGACUCCUACGGGAGGCAGCAGUGGGGAAUUUUGGACAAUGGGGGCAACCCUGAUCCAGCCAUGCCGCGUGAGUGAAGAAGGCCUUCGGGUUGUAAAGCUCUUUCGGCCGGGAAGAAAUCGCACAGGCUAAUACUCUGUGUGGAUGACGGUACCGGCAUAAGAAGCACCGGCUAACUACGUGCCAGCCGCCGCAGUAA
rnacentral:rRNA from 1 species